GGGCUCGUGGUCUAGUGGUUAUGACGUCGCCCUUACAAGGCGGAGGUCCCCGGUUCGAAUCCGGGCGAGCCCA
rnacentral:tRNA from 2 species